rnacentral:misc_RNA from 1 species
AAGUCGUAACAAGGUUUCCGUAGGUGAACCUGCGGAAGGAUCAUUAACACAACUUUAAACUGUUGAACACCUCGUGAACUGUUGUCCUCCCUGAGUUGUAUUAAAACCACAAUUUGGGCUACUACUUGCUUGUUUGCUGUGUUGACUUCGGUCAGCAUUAGUGACUUGCAUGUUUUUAACUUUUCACCCCUUCUACCGCUCUUUAUUGAGUGUACCUGGCAUUCAGCGCAAGCUGAGUUCCAUAACUAAAUGAUUAAGGCUAUUUUCUUUAUUGAAUCUGCCGAUAAACAUAAAAACAACUCUUAACAAUGGAUAUCUUGGUUCUC